CAACCAUUUAUUGUGAUUCUUCUCUGUACACUUUAAUUUCUUAUCUUUCUAAAGGAAGCUCUUGUUGAUGGCCGAUUGUGAAAAUGGAGAUCGUGAAGCCAAAAUGAUAGUGGAUGUGAGAAUGCAAAAAAAAACACGGAGAAACGGUGACUGGCAAUUUAACAGAUAUAAAUGAUGAAUGUUGUUUAGGUAAAGUGAUGAUUGUAUGUGAAGUAAGAGUAAGGUUUUCAAGAGCUCGAGAAUAAAAUAGAUAUUGAUGAUAUGGAGAAAAUAAUAGAUAUUCAGAAAGAAAAGAAAAGGAAAGAGCAGAAAAAAGGUGAAAGGAAAAGAUUAAAGAGAUGAAGAAAGAUACCAUUUUUAGAAAGAAGUUGAUGGUUCAAUUGACAAGAAAUAUGAGAUUGUAAAGACCAAGACAAAACCAAACAAUUUGAUCAAGAAAAACCAAGUCACUGGUAUAAGGAGGGGAGAGGUAA